rnacentral:rRNA from 1 species
GGGUCAGUAGGUUGGUCGUGCCACCGGUACGUACUGGUCUCACUGACUCCUCCUUCCUGAAGAACCGUAAUGCCAUUAAUUUGGUGUUGCGGGGAAACAGGACUGUUACUUUGAAAAAAUUAGAGUGUUUAAAGCAAGCUAACGCUUGAAUACAUUAGCAUGGAAUAAUGGAAUAGGACGAUCGAUCCUAUUUUGUUGGUUUCUAGGAUUGACGUA